rnacentral:rRNA from 1 species
AUGUCUAAGUAUAAACACCUUAUACUGUAAAACCGCGAACAGCUCAUUAUAUCAGCAAUAAUUUAUUUGAUGGUUCCUUACUACAUGGUAUAACCGUAGUAAUUCUAGAGCUAAUACAUGCGUAAAGUCCCGACUCGCUUCGGUGGGAAGGGAUGUAUUUAUUAGGUACAAAACCAAUGCGUCCUCUGGACGGUUACUUGGUGAUUCAUAAUAACUGAUCGAAUCGCACGGCCUUGUGCUGGCGAUAGUUCAUUCAAAUUUCUGCCCUAUCAGCUCUCGACGGUAGUGUAGUGGACUACCGUGGCGUUAACGGGUGACGGAGAAUUAGGGUUCGAUUCCGGAGAGGGAGCCUGAGAAACGGCUACCACAUCCAAGGAAGGCAGCAGGCGCGCAAAUUACCCAAUCCUAAUACAGGGAGGUAGUGACAAGAAAUAACAAUACUGGGCCUUUUCAGGUCUGGUAAUUGGAAUGAGUACAAUCUAAAUCCCUUAACGAGGAUCCACUGAAGGGCAAGUCUGGUGCCAGCAGCCGCGGUAAUACCAGCUUCAGGAGCAUAUAUUAAAUUUGUUGCAGUUAAAAAGCUCGUAGUUGGAUUUCUGGCUUGCAUGUCUGGCCCGCCGCCUUCGGGCGUGUGAGUGCCGGUACUGUGCUUGCCAUCCUUGUUGGAAGUGGCGCUGCCGGCCUUUUAUUAGGUUGGUGCGCUGUUUAUCUUUCAGCAUCGUUUACUUUGAAAAAAUUAGAGUGUUUAAAGCAGGCUUAGGCCGUGAAUACAUUAGCAUGGAAUAAUAAUAUAGGACUUGGGUUCUAUUUUGUUGGUUUCUAGGACCGAAGUAAUGAUUGAUAGGGAUAGUUGGGGGUGCUAGUAUUAAGCGGCCAGAGGUGAAAUUCUUGGACUCGCUUAAGACUAACUACUGCGAAAGCAUUCACCAAGGAUGUCUUCUUUAAUCAAGAACGAAAGUUGGGGGAUCAAAGACGAUCAGAUACCGUCGUAGUCUCAACCAUAAACUAUACCGACUAAGGAUCGGCAGACGUCUUUUUCGACUCUGUCGGCACUUUAUGAGAAAUCACAAGUUUUUGGGUUCCGGGGGGAGUAUGGUCGCAAGGCUGAAACUUAAAGGAAUUGACGGAAGGGCACACCAGGAGUGGAGCCUGCGGCUUAAUUUGACUCAACACGGGGAAACUUACCAGGUCCAGACAUAGUAAGGAUUGACAGAUUGAAGAUCUUUCUUGAUUCUAUGGGUGGUGGUGCAUGGCCGUUCUUAGUUGGUGGAGUGAUUUGUCUGGUUAAUUCCGUUAACGAACGAGACCUCAACCUGCUAAAUAGUUUGGCUUAACCCUUGUGGUGAGGUGCAAUUACUUCUUAGAGGGACUAUCGGUGCGUAGCCGGUGGAAGUUUGAGGCAAUAACAGGUCUGUGAUGCCCUUAGAUGUUCUGGGCUGCACGCGCGCUACACUGAUACGUUCAUCAAGUUUACAACCUUGUCCGGAAGGAUUGGGUAAUCUUUUGAAAGCGUAUCGUGAUGGGGAUAGAUUAUUGUAAUUUUUCAUCUUCAACGAGGAAUUCCUAGUAAACGCAUGUCAUCAACGUGCAUUGAUUACGUCCCUGCCCUUUGUACACACCGCCCGUCGCUACUACCGAUUGAAUGGUUUAGUGAGGUCCACGGACUGUGGUUAGCUGGGGUUCGCCCCGGCCGACACGCAGGAAGUGGAACAAACUUGAUCAUUUAGAGAAAGUAAAA